rnacentral:rRNA from 1 species
AUUGAACGCUGGCGGAAUGCUUUACACAUGCAAGUCGAGCGGCAGCGCGGCCUUCGGGCUGGCGGCGAGCGGCGAACGGGUGAGUAAUGCAUCGGAACAUGCCCAGUCGUGGGGGAUAACACUUCGAAAGAAGUGCUAAUACCGCAUACGUCCUGAGGGGGAAAGCGGGGGAUCGCAAGACCUCGCGCGAUUGGAGUGGCCGAUGUCAGAUUAGCUAGUUGGUGGGGUAAAGGCCUACCAAGGCGACGAUCUGUAGCUGGUCUGAGAGGAUGAUCAGCCACACUGGGACUGAGACACGGCCCAGACUCCUACGGGAGGCAGCAGUGGGGAAUUUUGGACAAUGGGGGCAACCCUGAUCCAGCCAUUCCGCGUGAGUGAAGAAGGCCUUCGGGUUGUAAAGCUCUUUCGGCAGGAACGAAACGGUGGGCUCUAACAUAGUCCGCUAAUGACGGUACCCGAAGAAGAAGCACCGGCUAACUACGUG